UACGAACUGUGCAAACGUUAUUCGGAAUCACUGGGCUUAAAGGGUGCGUAGGCGGGUUGGUAGGUCAGAUGUGAAAGCCCACGGCUCAACCGAGGAAUUGCUUGACGAACCAUGUGCCUUGAGCCAAGUAGGGGCUGUCGGAACGAUAGGUGGAGUGGUGAAAUGCGUUGAUAUCUAUCGGAACGCCGAAGGAGCAAUCAGGCAGCUGGGCUUGUGCUGACGCUGAGGUACGAAAGCGUGGGGAGCGAACGGG
rnacentral:rRNA from 1 species